rnacentral:rRNA from 1 species
CCAAUAGCGUAUAUUAAAGUUGUUGCAGUUAAAAAGCUCGUAGUUGAAUUUUGGAUUCUUCCAAUUGGUCCAUCUUUUAGAUGAGUACUGGUUGUGUGGGGUCUAUCCGCCUGGUGAUACGUAAUGUCCUUUAUUGGAUGUUGCGGGUAGUCAGGACCUUUACCUUGAAAAAAUUAGAGUGUUUAAAGCAGGCUUAUGCCGGAAUACAUUAGCAUGGAAUAAUAGAAUAGGACGAAGUUGUUUUAUUUUGUUGGUUUCUAGGACAACCGUAAUGAUUAAUAGGGACAGUUGGGGGCAUUAGUAUUCAAUUGUCAGAGGUGAAAUUCUUGGAUUUAUUGAAGACUAACUACUGCGAAAGCAUUUGCCAAGGAUGUUUUCAUUAAUCAAGAACGAAAGUUAGGGGAUCGAAGACGAUCAGAUACCGUCGUAGUCUUAACCAUAAACUAUGCCGACUAGGGAUCGGGCGAUGUUGUUUCCAUGACUCGCUCGGCACCUUAUG